GUGCCAGCAGCCGCGGUAAUACGUAGGGGGCUAGCGUUGUCCGGAUUUAUUGGGCGUAAAGAGCGUGUAGGCGGCCAGAUAGGUCUGCUGUGAAAACUCGAGGCUCAACCUCGAGCUGUCGGCGGAAACCAUUUGGCUAGAGUCCGGAAGAGGAAAGUGGAAUUCCUGGUGUAGCGGUGAAAUGCGCAGAUAUCAGGAAGAACACCCGUGGCGAAGGCGGCUUUCUGGGACGGUACUGACGCUGAGACGCGAAAGCGUGGGGAGCGAACAGGAUUAGAAACCCCAGUAGUCC
rnacentral:rRNA from 1 species